GAAUCACAUAGGACAUUUCUCUUCUUUUACUAGAAGUGGUAGAUUCUUUAUUGAUCAUACAUUAUCUCCAUGUACAACUUAUUAUACCCAAGCAUACCCUUUGAUAUACCCUAAGGGUCUUAAGGAAUAAGUCAAAGUAUAACUCAUCAUACACAAGAUACUAUGAUGAUCUCAAGUCCAAGGAUCACUUGUACUACUAUCACUACAGGAAUUCCUAUUGACAAGCAAGUAAAACUCCAUUAGGUAUUCCUUAGUGAGUCACGUUCAGUGAACUUAUUCUCUAAUAAGCACCUACAUACUUGCUUUAGUGUCUCCACACAAAUGAUCAUGAGAUCAAUCAUCCUCAUCCAAUGAGCAAGCAACGUAUGUACCAAUCUAUCCGGAUUCACCAAUCUCCAAUUUAGUAAUCCAACGAUUGGGAACUAUUUUAGUUUUAAGCUUUCUAAGAAUUUAGAUCUCAUUAGAAUGAUCAUCAUCAUUAUUCUAAAAGCAUUGCUUAAAACUAUGGGUUUAUCACAUAUUAUAAAACAGC
rnacentral:lncRNA from 1 species